rnacentral:rRNA from 1 species
UUCCGGUUGAUCCUGCCGGACCUGACUGCUAUCGGAUUGAUACUAAGCCAUGCGAGUCAUUGUAGCAAUACAAGGCAGACGGCUCAGUAACGCGUAGUCAACCUACCCUAUGGACGGGAAUAACCUCGGGAAACUGAGUAUAAUGCCCGAUAGAACAUUAUACCUGGAAUGGUUUAUGUUCCAAAUGAUUUAUCGCCGUAGGAUGGGACUGCGGCCUAUCAGUUUGUUGGUGAGGUAAUGGCCCACCAAGACUAUUACAGGUACGGGCUCUGAGAGGAGUGGCCCGGAGAUGGGUACUGAGACACGGACCCAGGCCCUAUGGGGCGCAGCAGGCGAGAAAACUUUGCAAUGUGCGAAAGCACGACAAGGUUAAUCCGAGUGGUUUCUGCUAAAGGAACCUUUUGUUAGUCCUAGAAACACUAACGAAUAAGGGGUGGGCAAGUUCUGGUGUCAGCCGCCGCGGUAAAACCAGCACCUCAAGUGGUCAGGAUGAUUAUUGGGCCUAAAGCAUCCGUAGCCGGCUCUGUAAGUUUUCGGUUAAAUCUGUACGCUUAACGUACAGGCUGCCGGAAAUACUGCAGAGCUAGGGAGUGGGAGAGGUAGACGGUACUCGGGAGGAAGUGGUAAAAUGCUUUGAUCUCUCGAUGACCACCUGUGGCGAAGGCGGUCUACCAGAACACGUCCGACGGUGAGGGAUGAAAGCUGGGGGAGCAAACCGGAUUAGAUACCCGGGUAGUCCCAGCUGUAAACUAUGCAAACUCAGUGAUGCAUUGGCUUGUGGCCAAUGCAGUGUUGCAGGGAAGCCGUUAAGUUUGCCGCCUGGGAAGUACGUACGCAAGUAUGAAACUUAAAGGAAUUGGCGGGGGAGCACCACAAGGGGUGAAGCCUGCGGUUCAAUUGGAUUCAACGCCGGA